GCACCUCGUACUCCAGCCAAAGGAAAGUUCCUCCUGUUUCCAGAACGUUCGCAUGCUUUCCUGCAGCAGGUCUUGUUCACGCCUGUUCCUCUGCCUAAGGUCCUUCCCUAAUUCCUCACUGAACAGCUAAGAUCUGGAUGAAAACUUAACAAGACUUUCUGGAAGGCUUGAAGACAAUGGAAGAGAAAUAGAGAAAGUGACUUCAAAGCACCACUCAUGUGGUCGUCGGGACCUAUAAUACACAUCACGAGCAUCAAACCUACCAUCUUGUAUGACACCCCAAAUCACACUGGGCAUCUCCACUCCAAGCCUGGCCAACAUGGCAAAAACCCGUCUCUACUAAAAAUACAAAAAUUAGCUGGGCGUGGCUGCACACACCUGCAGCCCCAGCUACUUGGGAGGCUGAGGUAGGAGAAUCGCUUGAAUCUGGGAGGCAGAGAUUGCAGUGAGCUGAGAUCGCGCCACCGCACUCCAGCCUGAGCAACAAAGCCCGAGACUCCGUCUCAA
rnacentral:lncRNA from 10 species